GCUAGUUGUUGACAACACCUUGAAAAUUUUGGAUGUAUACAGUGGAUGGCCAGGUUGUACACACGAUGCUAGAGUUCUACGAAAUAGCUCCUUGUGUAGAAGAGCUGAAGGUGGAGAACUUUUUGGACCAAAUAAAGUUAUAGUAGGAGACAGUGCUUAUCCUGUUAAAAAUUGGCUGAUAACACCGUUUAAAGAUAAUGGUCACUUGUCAGCAAGACAGAGAAGAUUUAACAAAGCACUUUUUUCCUUUCGUCAGGCUGUAGAGAGGACUAUUGGCCAUGUAAAAGGACGUUUCCGAAGAUUGCGGGAGUUGACUAUUCAUGAACCAAAACAGAUAGUUCUUACUAUUCUGGCAGGAUGUAUUCUACAUAACUUGUGCAUUAUUGCUCACGAAGAAAUUGACCUGUAUAUUGAUAGAGACAAUGACAAUCACCCAAAUAAUUAUGUAAACAUUUUCCAAAAUGAUGUAGGUGGAGUUAAAAUCAGACAGC
rnacentral:lncRNA from 1 species